GUGGCGAACGGGUGAGUAAUACGUGAGUAACCUGCCCUUGACUCUGGGAUAAGCCUGGGAAACUGGGUCUAAUACUGGAUACUACCUCUUACCGCAUGGUGGGUGGUGGAAAGGGUUUUACUGGUUUUGGAUGGGCUCACGGCCUAUCAGCUUGUUGGUGGGGUAAUGGCUCACCAAGGCGACGACGGGUAGCCGGCCUGAGAGGGUGACCGGCCACACUGGGACUGAGACACGGCCCAGACUCCUACGGGAGGCAGCAGUGGGGAAUAUUGCACAAUGGGCGGAAGCCUGAUGCAGCGACGCCGCGUGAGGGAUGACGGCCUUCGGGUUGUAAACCUCUUUCAGUAGGGAAGAAGCGAGAGUGACGGUACCUGCAGAAGAAGCGCCGGCUAACUACGUGCCAGCAGCCGCGGUAAUACGUAGGGCGCAAGCGUUGUCCGGAAUUAUUGGGCGUAAAGAGCUCGUAGGCGGUUUGUCGCGUCUGCUGUGAAAGCCCGGGGCUCAACCCCGGGUCUGCAGUGGGUACGGGCAGACUAGAGUGCAGUAGGGGAGACUGGAAUUCCUGGUGUAGCGGUGAAAAUGCG
rnacentral:rRNA from 1 species